rnacentral:rRNA from 1 species
AAAUUGAAGAGUUUGAUCAUGGCUCAGAUUGAACGCUGGCGGCAGGCCUAACACAUGCAAGUCGAACGGUAGCACAGAGAGCUUGCUCUCGGGUGACGAGUGGCGGACGGGUGAGUAAUGUCUGGGAAACUGCCUGAUGGAGGGGGAUAACUACUGGAAACGGUGGCUAAUACCGCAUAACGUCGCAAGACCAAAGAGGGGGACCUUCGGGCCUCUUGCCAUCAGAUGUGCCCAGAUGGGAUUAGCUUGUUGGUGAGGUAACGGCUCACCAAGGCGACGAUCCCUAGCUGGUCUGAGAGGAUGACCAGCCACACUGGAACUGAGACACGGUCCAGACUCCUACUCCUA